rnacentral:rRNA from 1 species
GAUGGACGCUGGCGGCGUGCCUAAUACAUGCAAGUCGAGCGAACAGACGAGGAGCUUGCUCCUCUGACGUUAGCGGCGGACGGGUGAGUAACACGUGGAUAACCUACCUAUAAGACUGGGAUAACUUCGGGAAACCGGAGCUAAUACCGGAUAAUAUAUUGAACCGCAUGGUUCAAUAGUGAAAGACGGUUUUGCUGUCACUUAUAGAUGGAUCCGCGCCGCAUUAGCUAGUUGGUAAGGUAACGGCUUACCAAGGCAACGAUGCGUAGCCGACCUGAGAGGGUGAUCGGCCACACUGGAACUGAGACACGGUCCAGACUCCUACGGGAGGCAGCAGUAGGGAGUCUUCCGCAAUGGGCGAAAGCCUGACGGAGCAACGCCGCGUGAGUGAUGAAGGUCUUCGGAUCGUAAAACUCUGUUAUUAGGGAAGAACAAAUGUGUAAGUAACUAUGCACGUCUUGACGGUACCUAAUCAGAAAGCCACGGCUAACUACGUG